AGGGUUUGAUCCUGGCUCAGGACGAACGCUGGCGGUGUGCUUAAUGCAUGCAAGUCUACUACUUGUGACUUCGGUCACACUAAAGUGGUGGCAAACGGCUUAGUAACACGUAAGUAAUCUACCCUUAAGUAUGGGAUAAUCCGGAGAAAUCCGGCCUAAUACCACAUAAUUUUUUGAUAUAUAAAUGUUAAGAAGAAAGAUUUAUCGCUUUUGGAGGAGCUUGCGGCCUAUCAGGUAGUUGGUAAGGGUAAUGGCCUACCAAGCCUAAGACGGGUAACCGAAGUGAGAGCUUGAUCGGUAAGAGGGGAACUGAGACACGGUCCCCACUUCUACGGAAGGCAGCAGCAGGGAAUUUUGCGCAAUGGACUGUAUGGUCUGACGCAGCGACACCGCGUGGAGGAUGAAUGGUUUAGGCUUGUAAACUCCUUUUCUUAGGGAAGAUGAUGACGGUACCUAAGGAAUAAGCAUCGGCUAACUACGUGCCAGCAGCCGCGGUAAUACGUAGGAUGCGAGCGUUGUCCGGAAUUAUUGGGCGUAAAGGGCGUCUAGGUGGAUUAAUAAGUCCUGUGUGAAAUCUCUUGGCUCAACCAAGAAAGGUCACAGGAAACUAUUAGUCUAGAGGUCAUGAGAGGUAAGUGGAAUUCACAGAGUAGUGGUGAAAUGCGUAGAUACUGUGAGGAACACCAGA
rnacentral:rRNA from 1 species